rnacentral:rRNA from 1 species
GACGAACGCUGGCGGCGUGCUUAACACAUGCAAGUCGAGCGGUAAGGCCCUUUCGGGGGUACACGAGCGGCGAACGGGUGAGUAACACGUGGGUGACCUGCCCUCAGCUCUGGGAUAAGCCUGGGAAACCGGGUCUAAUACCGGAUAUGACUCCAUGACGCAUGUUGUGGGGUGGAAAGCCUUGUGCGGCUGAGGAUGGGCCCGCGGCCUAUCAGCUUGUUGGUGGGGUGAUGGCCUACCAAGGCGACGACGGGUAGCCGGCCUGAGAGGGCGACCGGCCACACUGGGACUGAGACACGGCCCAGACUCCUAC